UACGGAGGGGGCUAGCGUUGUUCGGAAUUACUGGGCGUAAAGCGCACGUAGGCGGCUUUGUAAGUUAGAGGUGAAAGCCCAGGGCUCAACCCUGGAAUUGCCUUUAAGACUGCAUCGCUUGAAUCAUGGAGAGGUGAGUGGAAUUCCGAGUGUAGAGGUGAAAUUCGUAGAUAUGCGGAGGAACACCGAUGGCGAAGGCAAUCCCCUGGGCCUGCACUGACGCUCAUGCACGAAAGCGUGGGGAGCAAACAGG
rnacentral:rRNA from 1 species